AUGAGGGACCAACUUCCGCUCAAGCAGGAAAUGAGGAUGACAAUGACAACUAGGACGAUGAACGAGAAGCAGGUAAAGAUGACAAUGAAAAACAAGAUGAGGAUGAAGCCACUGAGUCUAGAAAAUAUGUCAAUGCGAGGGAGUAUUACUGUUUCAAGUUGCAGAUCAGGGAAGAAAUUUUUAACAUCCUAUUGCAUGGGGAGGCGUCCUCUCCAACAGUGGCUUGUUGACAUGUACAUCAAAAUGGAGACUACAAGGCUUGAUUUCUACUGGAAGCCUCAGAAUCAAAAACUCAUACAGAGACGCGUGCUACUCAGAUUGGAAAAAGAAUCAUGCUCCCUCAGACUUUUCCGGGAGGUGAUCGAGACAUGCGACAAAGAUUCCUUGAUGCGAUGGUCGUCAUCCAAAGAUACGGAAAGCCUGAUUACUUAA
rnacentral:rRNA from 1 species